CUAGGGACCUGCAUCUCCUGGACAGUCAGCCGAGUGUUUCCAUGAUACCAGCCAUACCUGAUGCCAGGAGACUCGCUACACUUGGAAGCUCUUCAAGGCAUGCUUAUCUUUGUGAACUGAAUCUUGGAGAAGCAGGAUUGAAAAUAAGAGCUAUCUUUGAGGCUCUAGCACCUACAAGAGACACCCUCCCUCUCCACCGUGGAUCACCUGUCUCACCCGUGUGAGUCUCCACACAGAAACCAGUCAUGGCCCUGCCUUUGCCCCCCUUGAAAUCACCCAAGAGGAUGCUUCAAACUCAGGCAAGCACAACUGAUACUCACUCU